rnacentral:rRNA from 1 species
CCUACGGGUGGCAGCAGUCGAGAAUCAUUCACAAUGGGGGAAACCCUGAUGGUGCGACACCGCGUGGGGGAAUGAAGGUCUUCGGAUUGUAAACACCUGUCAUGUGGGAGCAAAUUAAAAAGAUAGUACCACAAGAGGAAGAGACGGCUAACUCUGUGCCAGCAGCCGCGGUAAUACAGAGGUCUCAAGCGUUGUUCGGAAUCACUGGGCGUAAGGCGUGCGUAGGCUGUUUCGUAAGUCGUGUGUGAAAGGCGCGGGCUCAACCCGCGGACGGCACAUGAUACUGCGAGACUAGAGUAAUGGAGGGGGAACCGGAAUUCUCGGUGUAGCAGUGAAAUGCGUAGAUAUCGAGAGGGACACUCGUGGCGAAGGCGGGUUCCUGGACAUUAACUGACGCUGAGGCACGAAGGCCAGGGGAGCGAAAGGGAUUAGAUACCCGGGUAGUC